rnacentral:rRNA from 1 species
AAUUUUGGACAAUGGGCGCAAGCCUGAUCCAGCCAUGCGGCGUGUGCGAAGAAGGUCUUCGGGUUGUAAAGCACUUUAAUCAGGGAGGAAGGGCAGCUAACGAAUACCUGAAUGUUUUGACGGUACCUAAAGAAUAAGCACCGGCUAACUACGUGCCAGCAGCCGCAGUAAUACGAAGGGGGCAAUCGGUAAUCGGAAUUACUGGGCGUAAAGCGCGAGUAGGUGGUUCGUUAAGUAGGAAGUGAAAGCCCCGGGCUCAACCGGGGAAGUGCUUUCAAAACUGGCGAGCUAGAGUACGGUAGAGGGUGGUGGAAUUUCCUGUGUAGCGGUGAAAUGCGUAGAUAUAAGAAGGAACACCAGUGGCGAAGGCGACCACCUGGAAUGAUACUGACACUGAGGUGCGAAAGCGUGGGGAGCAAACAGG